GGCGACUGAAUGGCGUAGUGGUUAGUGACCCUGACUUCUGAGCCGAAGGUCCCGGGUUCGAUUCCCGGCUGGGCCA
rnacentral:tRNA from 1 species